GGUGUUUAAAUGAUCUGUCAAUAAUAAUUGUUCAAUAUGGAGGUAAACAAAUGUAUAAUAUAUUAGUUUUAUUGUUGUGAGGACAGAAACAAAAAAUUUAUAAUUGUAGUGACUUUUUAAAUAGUUUUUAAAAGCAACAGGUACGUAAUAAUAAUUGUAAAUGUUUCAGUAUCGCAAUAAAAAAUUACAUAACCUA